UCUUCUCCUCCUCUCUCCGCUCUCACCCGUUUCACUGGCUGGAUGGCCAAAUCACCCCUGACAGGCCGGAGCUUUUCAUGCGGCGCUGCGAGUGUUUGUGUGGCACACUGUACAAAAGAGCAGGGACACACAGGACCCUCUUCAGCACGUCAGGCUGCCCCCUGUUUGCUCAGACUGCCGAGGGGCUUCACGGGGCCGGAGGUCCGUCUGCCGUCGAUGAAGGCACGUCUGGAUCCCAACUGGAUGCUCAUCAACUCCACGAGGACCUCCUAACUUCAAACUGAAGCUCCUCUCCCGUCGGAGAAACUGAGGCAGCAGGAAUGAUGAUCAGACUGGGAAGACUGACACCGGGAUACUUCCGCCUCCUCCAGAGGCAGAUGUCGGGUGAGGUCCAGAUUCAGCCGCAGAGCAGCCUCAUCGAUCCUAUCGCCAUGACGAUGGCCGCGGUGGGGAUGGGAGUGUCUCUGUACAGCGCCAGGCGGAUGUCAGAGAGAGUCCAGCUGAAGCGGCCAAACGCCUGAGAGAUCUCACCUGUUCACCGGUUCAGUUUCUGCGGUUCAUGCGACAUGUGUUUGUGAACGUCAGAGAAAGUCAGCGGAGGAGGAGUGUGUUUAUGUGUGUGGGUGUGUCUGUUUGGUGCUAGAAGGAAAAUCUAAGUGUCCCCGAAGGAAAAUGUGAGUCGGUCAUCAGCAUGUCGCAUGUGUGAAGCUGUAGUUUGAUAACCCUACGUGUUGUGUGCAGGAUGUCUUUAAAAGGAGUGCGUAUUAAAUCAGAGAUUUGUACUUUAAUUCAGUUAAUCAUCAAUUAACAAACAGCAUUAGAGUUUAGUUUUAAUUUAAAAAUGUGUAUAAUACAGAUGUAAUUCAAUUCAAUUUUAUUUAUAUAGAACCAAAUCACAACAAG